UUUGGAUGCAGCCACAUACCUGGAAAUGGCAGAUGUCAUCUGAAGGAUAAAGAAGGCAGACUGACUGCCUAGAACAGGUAUUGUAACAGAGUUUUUAUUAGAGACCUCCAGACAAAAAAUGAAUGGACAUUCCUAGUGUACAGAUGGUUUUCACUGACAAAAGGAGACAGAAGUGUCCACUACAGAGUAAAAGAAGCAUCAGAAGAAGAAAUUAUGUCUUUUAAAACACUUUUAUAUGAAAACUGUUGCUUUGAUCUGGGAGAACAGCAUGAUUUUUUUGGCAUUGUACUAAGGAAUCCACGCAAUCCUUUUACGCGUUGCCAGCGAACCAUGGCAAUUUUUGUUACUUUACUGCUUAGUAUGUUGGCAA